UCUCCAGUGGCGCAAUGGGUUAGCGCGCGGUACUUAUAAUGCCGAGGUUGUGAGUUCGAAUCUCACCUGGGGAA